rnacentral:sRNA from 11 species
CGGCACACGCGUACACUGCGGUUGCUCCGCGCCGUCGCAUCCGCCUGACGAUCGCUGGCUACGUGUUGAGAGCC